CGCGGAUGGAGAAGGCCGAUUGUACACGUGGAAGGAAAACUCCAUCCUGGUCCCUAUUCUGGGAACUGGGGACGUAAUGGAGAGUAAGACUGAAAAGAUUCCUGCCAGUACGAUUUAAAGGAAAUAGAGAAAAGGAUUCAUUGAAAGAAAGCAUGACAAUCCUAGCACAAUGCUGCCGUGAGAAGACUCUCCCCUACCUCUCAGAAUUGUAAUUCUUCAGUGAAUCUGCCCAGCACGAUAUAGAAGCCAGCCUUCUGAGAGAAGUUGAAGACGGACGCAUUUACGUGGCGGUGCUGUUCUUCUGAGCAUCUGCGAAAACAAACGGGUCAUCUGACUCAGCGUGCACAGAGAAGAGCCAGGAUGCCACAGCGUCCUUCUUAAAAAGAGGAUCGGAAAGAGGACUCAACAGAACGCUGCUUGUGAUUAAUGUGGUUGACGAGCAGAUAUUUGAAAGAAAAUAAUUGUGACAUCCUUACCAAAACUAAAUGAUAAUUUAGAAAAUCAGAAGAACUUCACAG